UACAGAGGUCCCAAGCGUUGUUCGGAUUCACUGGGCGUAAAGGGUGCGUAGGCGGUCGGGUAAGUCUGAUGUGAAAUCUCCGGGCCUAACCCGGAAACUGCGUUGGAUACUAUCCGGCUAGAGGAAUGGAGGGGAGACUGGAAUACUUGGUGUAGCAGUGAAAUGCGUAGAUAUCAAGUGGAACACCAGUGGCGAAGGCGAGUCUCUGGACAUUUCCUGACGCUGAGGCACGAAAGCCAGGGGAGCAAACGGG
rnacentral:rRNA from 1 species